UACAGAGGUCCCAAGCGUUGUUCGGAUUCAUUGGGCGUAAAGGGUGCGUAGGUGGCGCGGUAAGUCGGGUGUGAAAUCUCGGAGCUUAACUCCGAAAUUGCAUUCGAUACUGCCGUGCUUGAGGACUGGAGAGGAGACUGGAAUUCAUGGUGUAGCAGUGAAAUGCGUAGAGAUCAUGAGGAAGACCAGUGGCGAAGGCGGGUCUCUGGACAGUUCCUGACGCUGAGGCACGAAGGCCAGGGGAGCAAACGGG
rnacentral:rRNA from 1 species